GAUGAACGCUGGCGGCGUGCCUAAUACAUGCAAGUCGAGCGAACAGACGAGGAGCUUGCUCCUCUGACGUUAGCGGCGGACGGGUGAGUAACACGUGGAUAACCUACCUAUAAGACUGGGAUAACUUCGGGAAACCGGAGCUAAUACCGGAUAAUAUUUUGAACCGCAUGGUUCGAUAGUGAAAGACGGCUUUGCUGUCACUUAUAGAUGGAUCUGCGCCGCAUUAGCUAGUUGGUAAGGUAACGGCUUACCAAGGCGACGAUGCGUAGCCGACCUGAGAGGGUGAUCGGCCACACUGGAACUGAGACACGGUCCAGACUCCUACGGGAGGCAGCAGUAGGGAAUCUUCCGCAAUGGGCGAAAGCCUGACGGAGCAACGCCGCGUGAGUGAUGAAGGUCUUCGGAUCGUAAAACUCUGUUAUUAGGGAAGAACAAAUGUGUAAGUAACUAUGCACGUCUUGACGGUACCUAAUCAGAAAGCCACGGCUAACUACGUG
rnacentral:rRNA from 1 species